CAAUGGCUUUAGUGGCGGACUGGUGAGUAACGCGUGAGCAACCUGCCUACUAGAGGGGAAUAACAGUGAGAAAUCAUUGCUAAUACCGCAUAUGCCAUGAACAUCACAUGAUGAAAGUGGGAAAAGAGUAAUCUGCUAGUAGAUGGGCUCGCGUCUGAUUAGAUAGUUGGUGGGGUAACGGCCUACCAAGUCGACGAUCAGUAGCCGGACUGAGAGGUUGAACGGCCACAUUGGGACUGAGAUACGGCCCAGACUCCUACGGGAGGCAGCAGUCGGGAAUAUUGCGCAAUGGAGGAAACUCUGACGCAGUGACGCCGCGUAUAGGAAGAAGGUUUUCGGAUUGUAAACUAUUGUCGUUAGGGAAGAUACAAGACAGUACCUAAGGAGGAAGCUCCGGCUAACUACGUGCCAGCAGCCGCGGUAAUACGUAGGGAGCAAGCGUUAUCCGGAUUUAUUGGG
rnacentral:rRNA from 1 species